rnacentral:rRNA from 1 species
AAUCAUUGGUCGUAAAGCGCCUGUAGGUUGUUUAAUAAGUCUGUUGUUAAAGACUAGGGCUUAACCCUAGAAAAGCAAUGGAAACUACUAGACUAGAGUAUGGCAGGGGUAGAGGGAAUUUCUAGUGUAGCGGUGAAAUGCGUAGAUAUUAGAAAGAACACCAGUGGCGAAAGCGCUCUACUGGACCAUUACUGACACUCAGAGGCGAAAGCUAGGGUAGCAAAAGGGAUUAGAUACCCCUGUAGUCCUAGCCGUAAACGAUGGAUACUAGAUGUUGUGUAUAAUUUACAGUAUCGUAGCUAACGCGUUAAGUAUCCCGCCUGGGGAGUACGCUCGCAAGGGUGAAACUCAAAGGAAUUGACGGGGGCCCGCACAAGCGGUGGAGCAUGUGGUUUAAUUCGAUGCAACGCGAAGAACCUUACCAGGGCUUGACAUACUACGGAUUCUUUAGAGAUAAAGAAGUGCCUUCGGGAAUGUAGAUACAGGUGGUGCAUGGCUGUCGUCAGCUCGUGUCGUGAGAUGUUGGGUUAAGUCCCGCAACGAGCGCAACCCUUGUUUUUAGUUACUAAUUCGUUAGGUUUUCUAGAAAGACUGCCGGUGACAAACCGGAGGAAGGUGAGGAUGACGUCAAGUCAGCAUGCCCCUUAUGUCCUGGGCUACACACGUGCUACAAUGGCUAAGACAAAGGGUCGCGAGCUUGUGAGAGUCAGCUAAUCUCAUAAACUUGGCCUAAGUUCAGAUUGUAGGCUGCAAC